rnacentral:rRNA from 1 species
CCCUUAGAUGUUCUGGGAUGCACGCGCGUUACACUGAUUCGUUCAACGAGUUUAUGACCUUGCCUGAUGAGGUGGGGGAAUCUUUUCAAAUCGCAUCGUGAUGGGGAUAGAGUAUUGUAACUGUUAGUCUUCAACGAGGAAUUCCUAGUAAGUACGUGUCAUCAGCUCGUACUGAUUAUGUCCCUGCCCUUUGUACACACCGCCCGUCGCUCCUACCGAUUGAGUGCUCAGGUGAAUAGUAUGGACUGCAUCAGUGUUCGGUCUCCGAAUGUUGAAGCGAGAAAUUCUGUGAAUCUUAUUGCUUAGAGGAAGGAGAAGUCGUAACA